rnacentral:lncRNA from 1 species
UUAUGUAUACAUAUACUAUACGCUUGAUACUUAACCUUGUAUAUUAUAUGGACACCUAAUCUAGGCACGUGCAGUAUAUUUAUCAAUAGAAAAGUCAACUCCUCAUACUUGUUAAAACCGUGGACGUGAACAUUAACGGUUUUAUUUACUGCCGCUAGUAUGUGGGUACCUACCUGUACCAAUACGUAUACAGUACGUAAGCCGUAACGUUGCGUCGAGCAAUUUCGCGUAAAGUUUCAACGAGGUGUAACAAUAAUUAGAAGUGUUAUUUCAUCCCACUUUGCAAGCUCCAUUAAUCGGCGACUACCCCCCAACUUUGUUUCACGGAGACCAGAUCGAGUCCACACAGAUGCCUCGUUGUAUCACCAACCGAGCUUUCUGGUAACGUGGAACCUCGCGGAGGCGGCGCACGAGAGAGAGAGGGAGAGAGUGUAGCUUCGUUUAUUUGGAUCAAGAAUAUCCGUUUCGAGCUUUCGAGGCUCUUACUUAUACACAGACAUUAUCAUGAAAGAAUAUCCUUUGACACGAUGGGGAUGAAAUUAAUUUGACCGGAAACGUAGAUCUGUCGAAGUUUUAAAAUAGAGGAAGAGGAAAAAAAGAGGAAA